UAUUUCCAGCAGGUAGUCCCAAGUCAAUAGACUUCCCAAGAUUCUUUCCUCAGAGACUCAAAUUGUCACCUCCUCCCUUUUCUCAGCUCCUUCUUGAUGACAGCAAUGGAAACUGGGCUCAAGGUUGAUACAAGAGAGUUAGAUUAAAUAAAUUAAUCAAAGCACAAAUUGUGCUGGCAAGCUCCAGUGCCUAGCUUCUCCUAAAGCCAAUCUGCCAACGGCUCCACGCUGUGUCUCAGUCACCAAAUCCGAGCUGACAGGUGAUGGGCUGAACCUCUGGAACCCAAGAGGCAAUCUGAGGGGCGGGUCCAGGGAGGGCUCUGCUGAGCCAUGACAAUGGAAGCCUUAAACACGAGAUCCAUUACAGCCUGCACAACCACAGCCAUUUGCACAUGACGGAUGGAAGUAAAUCCUCAGGAAAGCAACCAUUAAUACGCCUUGCCCAACAUAGCUGAAGAACCCUGUCUGCUUUUCAGUGCUGCUGGGACACAUGGCUUCCCACACCCUACAUGGACAUUCAGGAACACACCUCAUCGCCACACUGCUAACAGGCUCAUUCUUUACCUGGAAUUGUCACAAGAACCUGACACUCUAAGAAGCAUGAUGUCCCUACUUAACGAUGUGGAAAGUAAGACUCAAGACAGAUCACACAGCCUGCCCAGGGUCAUAAGUUGAACUUGAUCCCCUUACCAGGCUACCUGAGGAAAUGGAAAGGAAGUCUGUUUUCAGGGUGGAAAAACAUUAAAAGCACUUAAAAUGUU